rnacentral:rRNA from 1 species
CAGUCGCCACGGUAAUACGUAGGUGGCAAGCGUUGUCCGGAAUUAUUGGGCGUAAAGGGCUCGCAGGCGGUUUCUUAAGUCUGAUGUGAAAGCCCCCGGCUCAACCGGGGAGGGUCAUUGGAAACUGGGAAACUUGAGUGCAGAAGAGGAGAGUGGAAUUCCACGUGUAGCGGUGAAAUGCGUAGAGAUGUGGAGGAGCACCAGUGGCGAAGGCGACUCUCUGGUCUGUAACUGACGCUGAGGAGCGAAAGCGUGAGGAGCGAACAGGAUUAGAGACCCCUGUAGUCCCUGUCUCUUAUAC